CCUACGGGAGGCAGCAGGGAGGAAUAUUGGGCAAUGGGCGCGAGCCUGAACCAGCCAAGUCGCGUGAGGGAGGACGGCCCUACGGGUGGUAAACCUCUUUUGCCGGGGAGCAACGGGCGUCACGUGUGGCGCCACUGAGAGGACCCGGAGAAAAAGCAUCGGCUAACUCCGUGCCAGCAGCCGGGGUAAUACGGAGGAUGCGAGCGUGAGCCGGAUUGAUUGGGUUGAAAGGGUGCGUAGGCGGUGCGUGAAGUCAGUGGUCAAAUUGAGGGGCUCACCCCCUUCCCGCCAUUGAAACUGGCGCUCUUGAGUGGACGAGAAGUAUGCGGAAUGCGUGGUGUAGCGGUGAAAUGCCUAGAUAUCACGCAGAACCCCGAUUGCGAAGGCAGCAUGCCGGCUUCCGACUGACGCUGAGGCACGAAAGCGUGGGGAUCGAACAGGAUUAGAUACCCGGGUAGUC
rnacentral:rRNA from 1 species